rnacentral:lncRNA from 1 species
CCAGGCCUUCCCUGGCCAGCGUGACCUACUUUCCUGGCUGAGUGACACUGAGGGGAAAAUGGUCGGUGACGGGCAGCCCUGCUCUGCGUGCAGCCAGCGGGGAGGGUGACCAGUGCCCUCGCAGCCAGGUCGCUUGGGCAGCCGGAGACGUCAUCUGAGUGACUCAGUGUUUGUCCUCUGCACACUGCACUGACCAGCCUGACGGGAACACCGGCCACGUGAUGUGGGCCCCUGGGCGGCUGUGCUGUGGGGAUGCCAGGACCUGCUGCUGCGAUGCAGCUGACGUGCAGGGUGGACGCUCUUCUGUCCCAGAUCCCGUUUCCUGAGGCUUUGUGCUUUGGCAGAGGCCAGGAGGCACCUUGGCUGGGGGAGACCCCAGGACCAGGGUGACAUCUGAGACCCCGCCAGUGCCCCCGGGCAGGUCUGCGGAGCAAUGCUGGCCUGGCCUUGGCUGUGCUCUGCCAGAGGGGCCAGCGCUGUUCUACACUCGGAGAGCCAUGGAAGCUGGGUCUCGAGAGCGCCCUGAGUCUGUGCGCCCUACACUAGCCUGGCCCACCCCAUGGGCCCUGGUGGGCCAGGGAAAUGACACACCCAUCCUCAUGCUAAGCGAGGGGUCCUCGACCCUUCCCUGCACUCCAGGGAAGCAAUUGCGGCUCCUAGGAGGAACCACAUGUCUUGGAAAACACCACAGCAAAGGUGUGCGUGCUUCUGCAGUCCAAAAUAUCACAGAAUGACUGGAAAUAAUCCUGGUCUGAAAAAAAUCUCACUCUCGCCCCACUAGCCAAGAACUGUGAAGAAAGAAGACAGCAGAGGAAAGUCUAGGCCUCUCCUGUCCAGAUACUCAGGUACCUGUGGCUGCAUUCCACUUUCACUCUGAAAACACAAGCACCUUUGGGGUCCGUGUCCCUCAAGGCAGGAGCCAUGCCUUCAAAUCACCCUCUGCCUUCUGGACGCUCUUGUAUCAGUCAGCACAGGCCAGCUGUGCUGUGUAACAAGUAGCCUGAGAUGCAGAGUGGCUCCUUUCCAUUCAGGCCCCAUGCCGAGCAGGGUGGGCUGGUGCCCUCCUGGUCCUCACCCCAGGGCUAGUGCCCUCCUGGUCCUCACCCCAGGGCUAGCUGUCAGGCAGGGCUCUGAGACGCACUAGACACUGGGCACUGAGAGGUGACAACCUCUUGCAUUUCCUCGGCCAAAGCAGGUCUGCUGGCCAGGCCAGUGCAUAGGCAGUAGGGAGCCUGAAUCCCCAAGCAGGCUGGGGGGGCACAGCCAAGUUCCAGGAGUGGACAUGCCAUCAGCCUCUGGACCAGCAGGGACAUCUAAGCUCAGAGCAGCUGUGAGGGCCUCGCCCACCUGGGCCUGGCAUUGCUGGCAGUGAGGCCGCAGGACACCAGGGCGGGUCCCACCGCCUCGUUGCUACAGACCCUGCAGACCCUGCUUGGGCCUGGCUGCUGAGUGUGGCCGGUAGGGGGAGCAGAGCACCGCUCAAAUGGAAGGGAGCCUGCAGCAGUCCCUCCGCUGGGCUCCCUGGGGCCAAGGAUGAGACGGGAGGACCAUGCUCCAAGGCAGGCCAGGCGCUGCUGGUUCUGCCACCGCGGAAGCCACCUGGUGUCCUCUUCCCAGGGUCCUGGGAACCCUGCCCUGGAUUCAGCCCAGCUGGAGGGUGGCAGGGCCGGGGUGGCUGCUCAGGGGCACCUUCCUGCCUCAGCCUGGCCCAAGUCAGUGCAGCUCUGCGCCUCAAGCCCGCUCCUCCAGGCUCCCUCCAGGCAGCCAAGCUGCCUGCCUUGGACCCAGUGGCUGCUGGGGUGGGCACGGGGGUGGCCUUAGGGUAGCGCGAGUCCCACAGGUGUCCUGGAGCCCUUGGCCAGCCGGAUGCUGUCUGCGUCGGGAGGGCGGGCAGGGCCACCACAGCUCCCCAGGGCGUUAGAAAUGGCGCUGCAGAGCCAGCACCUCACCCCGUCUCACCAGCAGAGCUGACAGCGCAGACUAAAAAUAACGGGCGUUUCUCCCGCAAGCAGCGGCUGUGCAACACACUGAGCCCUGCCGCCCACCCUCAUCACAGGGUGCUGAGCCACACCAGACCCAGUGUGUGGUCACUGUUAGCCCAGGCCUGCGACCCUCUCCAUGCACAUGGGAGCCCUGUCCAGCAAGGGGUGGCCCAGAGGUGGCCUGGGCCAGCUGAUGCCACAACCCAUCACAGUCCCUGCCCUGCCACAGUCCCUCGGGGACACGAUGGGCACGUGCUGCGCCCGAUGCUGUGUCCCCCACCCCUGCUUUGCUCCACGGCGUCCCGGGGAGUCCUGAGAACCCUCGUGCCCUCUGUGGGCUGCUGCCCUCCCAGGGGUCUGCAGUGCGUCCUCCCAGGGAGGCGGGUGUCAGAGGCCAGGGGGCUGCAGAGUGCGACGCAGGCCGGACUGUGGCCUCCGGGCAGAUGGUGCAGCCUCACCACAGGGGCCCCGUGCCAGCCCACACUGCUGGCCUUGGUGGCCAGGACCUCCAGCCAGGGCUGUGCCUUGCCCAUGGAGCUGCAGUCUGGGGCUGCCUGCUCCUGGGGUCUGGGCCCAGCAGGCUGGGGGCUGGUCACAGGUAGCAGCAGGGGCAGCCCCUCUCCUCAGCAGAGCUGCGCCCCUUGUACUACUGCCCAGGCAAGGGUCCUCCCUGUCUCCAGGGUGCCCCUCGGCUUCGAGUCCUUCUCCCUUCCCGAGAUAGUACUCCCACCUGCCACUUCCAGAAAGUGCAUGUUAGGGCUUAAAACCGAAUGUCCCCCAAAGCCUCAUGUGCCAGAAGUGGGGCUCUGGGGAGAGGCUAAAUCGUGGGUGCGAGAGGCUGGAUGAGUCCACGAUAGGCUUGGCACAGGUCUGGGUGUGGCUGGUGGACUUACUGAAGAGCGGAGCCCCACCCUGGAUGUGGGUGCACCAACCAAUAGGCUUGCAGCCUGGAGGGAAUAAAAAGGGAGAAGAAGGAAGGCACCCUGCCUCCUGUCUGCCCUGCCAGGGGCUGCUUCCGCUCUGCCACGUCACCCUGCCUUGGAGCCAGCUGACGCCGAUUAGAGAAACCUCUACACACUGAGAACUGAAAUAAUCCUCUCCUCCUUUACCAUCUGGCUGUCAUGCUGGGUAUUCUGUCUCAGCAACAAGAGAGUAACUGAGACAGUGCAUCUGGGACCUGGUUCUCCUGCGAGGGGGUAGCCAGCGGAGCUCACACGGGUCAGGAGGGGGCUGCCCUGCCCGCCCGCCCGGAAGCCAGGGCAGGGGACAGGAGCCUGGAAGGUUCUUCCCAGGGCCGAGCACGGACAGGCUGCAGGUCCUGCGUGGUCCCCAGGUGCAUGGACAUCCGGCCCAGGAGGUCCAGCUGGAGAAGCAGAAGGCCACACACGCCCAGAGGCACACCCAUGGUCACACAGAGGCGCACACGCAGGAACAUUCGCACUCCUGCCCACACCCACACGUUCAGGAAGUAAUGAGUGAUGAGCAGACAGGUAACCCACAGAUCCCAGAGGAUGCGCCUCAGAUGCCGUCUGUCCCUCCCUCACCCACGUCGGUGCCCACCCAGCCCUCCUUCCUUCUCAAGCCCUCAGUGUGGCCUUCCCGGGGACUCAAGUGGGGAGCCGGGGAGCCAUGGCCAGGUGUGGGGCGGCACCCUGAGCAGGCUGGGGCUGUAGGCUGAUCACAGCCCUUCCAGUGGGCUGGGGGUGCAUCCUGGGGUGCAGGGCACACGAUCUCCACAGGAGUGACCAGGGAGGCCUGGGAGGGCUCAGGGCUUCCGAGGGCAGCAGGCUUGGGAAGGGCAAAGAACUCACAUGGCCUGUAGCCAGAGGGUGCAGCCUCGCCCCCACCAGCCACUCCCAAUUCCACUCCCACAUUUCACAACACCUGACACCCACCACUUAGAGGGGAGAGGUCAGGUGGCUCAUGGCUCAGGCGACCCAGUCCGUGGUUGGCUGGCUCCAAGGCAGGGGUGUCAUGGCGGAGGAGCAUGGAGAAGGGAAGAUGGUGGCCAGGAAGCAGAGCAGGGGAUCAGCUCCACGAGGAAGGGGCCAGGGAACAGACGCUGUACCCAAGGCCACCCCUCCAUGGCCACCCAGACACACCCAGGAGUGUGCUCCCCCGGUCCCGAGGCUUCUCCAGCCAGUGAGCGACAGCAGGCCCUGCAGUUUCAGCUCGAGGCGUGAACAAGCAGAGCCGGGCAGCAGACUCUCCCUGCAGCCCAGCUGAGCAGUAGCUCUCAGGGCACUUGGGCUGCUGCCGGGCGGCUCCCGGGGCACGCCAAGGCUCGCCAAGGCUCCUGGAACACAAUUCCCUAGCGGGCUGGGAUGACGCUCGCAUUUUUCUAGGUGUGUAUAGUGGAAACGAAACCAAAAUAUUAUCACAAGGCUAAGUUUGUUUUACAGCUGCUGUGACAGAUGAUAGUACUUGUCUAGGUUUCGUAUAAACAGCUCUCCCUGUGCCCUGAGCAGCUGCGGCCUCCCGCUCGCUGAGGCUGAGGGCAGUAGCUCUGGUCCCUCGGCCAGCUGACAGCCGCAGGCUCACCCCAACAGCAUCUCCGGGGAGGGCGGGGCCCGGGGAGGGCUCCUGUGUCUCCAGGGCCCCGACGGGGGACAGCGUGGUUCUUUCUGGACAGGACUCCUGUAGGUGCAGGUGGCCCUUCCUGCUGCAGGCCUGAUUCAGGCUGUGGGGCGCUGGCCCUGGGCUCCUUCCUGGGUCCCCAUGAGAGCCCUUGGCCACAAGAAACCCCCAGGGACAGCAGUGGCCCGACACCCAAGCCCCCCACAGUGGGCUCCCUCAGGCCUCAUCCCCAGCCCUCCCAACCCUUGAAAGCUCCGGCCUGGGGUGGGGACCUCAGCCUGUCCGCUGUCCCAUGUCCACAGGGCUCCUCGGGGCACUGCACUGUCCCCCAGCCCCGUUUGUGUCCUUCGGCAGCACAUAGCAUGUCCAGUAGCAAGCGAAAAAGGUCACAGAGCCAGGACCAACAUGUGCUGAGCUUAGAAGGGAGGGACCACAGCUCGGCGGGUCCCAGGGAAGACCUGGAGCGCCCACCGCCCAGCCGAGCACACGGGGAGCUGAGGUCACCUGGCCCAGGGCCACUCCCCCUGCACAGCAAGGCCAGUGGCCUCCGGAUGGGGCCUGAGGCAGAGAUCAGGCUGCCGCUUCCGCUCCACAGCCUCGGGCUACUCAGCACCCUGUGUUCUGUCCCCAAACCAAACGCUGCUCUAUCUCUGCCCACAGAGCCCGCCGCUUCUGCGGGAAGGGUCAUCUCCGCCUCUCCCCAGUGGGAACCCAGGCUCGGCGCAGAGGCCACUUACCACUCAUAGGGAAAGCAUGGGCGGUGACUGCACACAGCCGCGCCCGCGGAGCUCCCCCCAUCCCAGGCCCCUCGGAGCCUGCCUUUGGGGCACCUGUGUCACUUCCGGUGUCUCCCUCACACUGCAGUGACAGAGAUGUGUGUCCCAGCACGCGUGUGUCGCAGGCUUCACUAUCUACCCCGCAGAGCUCGAGCGACACCGUGCAUACCACGUACCUGCCGUGGAGACCACACAUGCCCAGGGUGCCCGAGCCAAUGCCUGGACGGGCAGUGACCUGGCUGCUCGUCCCCUGGGUUGAUCCGGGUGGGGCCCAGGGCAGCCCGAGCCCGGUGGGCGCAGCGCGAGGAUCCAGCUCCAUGUGGCCUCAUGUGGGAGGUCUCACCAGGUGACAAGGACACCAGCAGGCCCAAGGAGCCAGGGUGUCGGGUGCUGUCCAGCUAGGGGCUGGGGGAGCCCAGCGGGUGGGGGGACCACAGGCUCCUGCUGGAAGGGUACUGAGGACAGCGGCCCAGCAUGGAGGCACCAAGGGCCAGGCCAGGCCCAGGUCCCACUGGCCAGUGUGGCCAGAGCAGGGAGGGGCGCAGGGCCUGAGAACCCCGGGGAGCUCAGCAGGGCAGGAGAUGACAGGCCAGGCCAGAGAAGCCUGCCAGACCCGACGUGCCAGAGCCAGGGAGGCACUGAACAGCCUGGGUCAUCUCUUUCCGUGACACCAGCGUGGGGACACCAGGCCCACGGACGUCACCUCUCGGCUCAGCCCGGGGUGACCAACCAGAGCCCAGGGUCCCCGGUGAUUUGGAGCAGGAGGACAACUCCAAGCCGGGAGCCACGGGAGCACAGCCACGCCCAGAGGCCCCUCCGUGCCUGCGGGAAACAACCAGCAGCAAACACCGGGCUCACAGGCGCCAGUGGGACUCAGUGAGGCGCAGCGUUUCCUCUGACGGCACGCCGCGGCCAGGAACAACGGAUUUCGUUCUUAGUCUGGUGGAGUUCGCGGGUAAAAGCAAUGCCUACA